rnacentral:rRNA from 1 species
GCCAGCCCGCUCAGAACUUAAAGGAAUUGACGGGGGCCCGCACAAGCGGAGGAACAUGUGGUUUAAUUCGAUGAUACGCGAGGAACCUUACCUGGGCUAGAACGCAAUCGGAAUCGGGCCGAAAGGUCUGCGCCAGCGAUGGCCGCUUGCGAGGUGCUGCAUGGUUGUCGUCAGCUCGUGCCGUGAGGUGUCGGGUUAAGUCCCAUAACGAGCGCAACCCCUACUGCUAGUUGCCAGCGGGUCAUGCCGGGGACUCUAGCGGAACUGCCAGCGUAAGCUGCGAGGAAGGUGGGGAUGACGUCAAAUCAGCACGGCCCUUACGUCCAGGGCUACACACGUGUUACAAUGGCCAGUACAGAGGGCAGCCACCCCGCGAGGGGGCGCUAAUCCUAAAAGCUGGUCCCAGUUCGGAUUGGAGUCUGCAACUCGACUCCAUGAAGUUGGAAUCGCUAGUAAUCGUGGAUCAGCAUGCCACGGUGAAUACGUUCCCGGGCCUU